GCCCGGAUGGUGGAAACGCAGACACGGCGGGCUUAAUACUCGCUGCACCUCGGAGGGGCGCCGGUUCGAGUCCGGCUCCGGGCACCA
rnacentral:tRNA from 2 species